GCUGGCCUGAGGGGUCCUCGCUGUGCUAAAGUGCUUACAGUGCAGGUAGUUCCUCUGUUCAGCCUACCGCAGUGUGAGCACUUCUUGCACAGCAGGGCCAAGACGC
rnacentral:pre_miRNA from 1 species